ensembl:lncRNA
CAAGAAUUUGCCACGUUUCAAGUGUUUGCAGACGGAAGGAAUAUGUUAUUGAAGAGUCUGUGAAUGUCAAAUGUUGCAAAUCUGGUGUGGAUCAUAUUCCCUAAUUCCCAAAGUGCCCUGUUAGGGUGAAAGAGGUUGAGGGGUCAAGGAUCAGGGCUGUACAACAAAUCUCCUAUGUGGAGGCAGUGAAGAGAGUUGAAAGGGCAAGAGGUCACAGUUCUGAAGAAGAGAUGGAGGUUGAUGCACCGUAAACAUUUGCAAAUGUUAUACAGUGGGGCAAAAAAGUAUUUAGUCAGCCACCAAUUGUGCAAGUUCUCCCACUUAAUGAGAUGAGAGAGGCCUGUAAUUUUCAUCAUAGGUACACUUCAACAAUGACAGACAAAGUUAGAAGAAAAAAUCCAGAAAAUCACAUUGUAGGAUUUUUAAUGAAUUUAUUUGCAAAUUAUGCUGUAGGGUGCCAUUUGUGACUCAUGCUACAUGUGCCGAUGUCUCUUUAGAUAAAUAUCUUAUAAAUAUCUUAUAUUUAGUAGUGCACAAGGGUCCUGGUUAAAGUAGUGCACUAGGGGCCUGGUAGAAAGUAGUGCACUAGGGUCCUGGUAGAAAUAGUGCACUAGGGGCCUGGUUAAAGUAGUGCACUAGGGGCCUGGUAGAAAGUAGUGCACUAGGGUCCUGGUUAAAGUAGUGCACUAGGGGCCUGGUAGAAAGUAGUGCACUAGGGGCCUGGUUAAAGUAGUGCACUAGGGGCCUGGUAGAAAGUAGUGCACUAGGGUUCUGGUUAAAGUAGUGCACUAGGGGCCUGGUUAAAGUAGUGCACUAGGGGCCUGGUAGAAAGUAGUGCACUAGGGUCCUGGUUAAAGUAGUGCACUAGGGGCCUGGUAGAAAGUAGUGCACUAGGGUCCUGGUUAAAGUAGUGCACUAGGGGCCUGGUAGAAAUUAGUGCACUAGGGUCCUGGUAGAAAGUAGUGCACUAGGGUCCUGGUAGAAAGUAGUGCACUAGGGUCCUGGUAGAAAGUAGUGCACUAGGGUCCUGGUAGAAAGUAGUGCACUAGGGUCCUGGUAGAAAGUAGUGCACUAGGGGCCUGGUAGAAAGUAGUGCACGAUUAACGGAAUAUGGUGCCAUUUGUGACUCAUGCUACAUGUGCCGAUGUCUCUUUAGAUAAAUAUCUUAUAUUUUUACAACAUGUCCUUUGUUGUCCAAUGGGACGAUGAUGAACUAGUUCUGCAUGUUACCACAUGUCCAUUAUUAUCCAAUGGAACGAUGAUGAACUAGUUCUGCAUGUUACCACAUGUCCAUUAUUAUCCAAUGGAACGAUGAUGAACUAGUUCUGCAUGUUACCACAUGUCCAUUAUUAUCCAAUGGAACGAUGAUGAACUAGUUCUGCAUGUUACCACAUGUCCAUUAUUAUCCAAUGGGACGAUGAUGAACUAGUUCUGCAUGUUACCACAUGUCCAUUAUUAUCCAAUGGAACGAUGAUGAACUAGUUCUGCAUGUUACCACAUGUCCAUUAUUAUCCAAUGGGACGAUGAUGAUCUGGUUCUGCAUGUUUCCAAACAGGGAAAGAGAAACUGUAGAUAACUGCCAUGAUUAAAACAGUCAUGAGAUGUUCAGGGGUUAUUUCAGGUCAGACUCACUAGAUGGUGACUAUAGUAGCUGCUGUUAUUUGUCCUGUUUCACACUUGUCCAGGUGUUUCACACAUAUCCCAACACCCACAGAGAGCUGGGGUCUUUAGACAGGGUCAGACAUUAUCAACACCCACAGAGAGCUGGGGUCUUUAGACAGGGUCAGACCAGACAUUAUCCACACCCACAGAGAGCUGGGGUCUUUAGACAGGGUCAGACAUUAUCAACACCCACAGAGAGCUGGGGUCUUUAGACAGGGUCAGACAUUAUCAACACCCACAGAGAGCUGGGGCUUUAGACAGGGUCAGACAUUAUCAACACCCACAGAGAGCUGGGGUCUUUAGACAGGGUCAGACAUUAUCAACACCCACAGAGAGCUGGGGUCUUUAGACAGGGUCAGACAUUAUCAACACCCACAGAGAGCUGGGGUCUUUAGACAGGGUCAGACAUUAUCAACACCCACAGAGAGCUGGGGUCUUUAGACAGGGUCAGACAUUAUCAACACCCACAGAGAGCUGGGGUCUUUAGACAGGGUCAGACAUUAUCAACACCCACAGAGAGCUGGGGUCUUUAGACAGGGUCAGACAUUAUCAACACCCACAGAAAGCUGGGGUCUUUAGACAGGGUCAGACAUUAUCAACACCCACAGAGAGCUGGAGUCUUUAGAGAGGGUCAGACAUUAUCAACACCCACAGAGAGCUGGAGUCUUUAGACAGGGUCAGACAUUAUCAACACCCGCAGAGAGCUGGAGUCUUUAGACAGGGUCAGACAUUAUCAACACCCACAGAGAGCUGGAGUCUUUAGACAGGGUCAGACAUUACCAACACCCACAGAGAGCUGGGGUCUUUAGACAGGGUCAGACAUUAUCAACACCCACAGAGAGCUGGAGUCUUUAGACAGGGUCAGACAUUAUCAACACCCACAGAGAGCUGGGGUCUUUAGACAGGGUCAGACAUUAUCAACACCCGCAGAGAGCUGGGGUCUUUAGACAGGGUCAGACAUUAUCAACACCCACAGAGAGCUGGGGUCUUUAGACAGGGUCAGACAUUAUCAACACCCACAGAGAGCUGGGGUCUUUAGACAGGGUCAGACAUUAUCAACACCCACAGAGAGCUGGGGUCUUUAGACAGGGUCAGACAUUAUCAACACCCACAGAGAGCUGGGGUCUUUAGACAGGGUCAGACAUUAUCAACACCCACAGAGAGCUGGCGUCUUUAGACAGGGUCAGACAUUAUCAACACCCACAGAGAGCUGGGGUCUUUAGACAGGGUCAGACAUUAUCAACACCCACAGAGAGCUGGGGUCUUUAGACAGGGUCAGACAUUAUCAACACCCACAGAGAGCUGGGGUCUUUAGACAGGGUCAGACAUGAUCAAUGACAUCCCUGGAGCAAUUGAGGUUGAGUGCCUUGCUGUAUAUACUGUGUAUACAGUAUUGGAUUGAAAAUCAGCCUGUGUGUGUGUAUACAGUAUUGGAUUGAAUCCCAGCCUGUGUGUGUGUAUACAGUAUUGGAUUGAAUCUCAGCCUGUGUGUGUCUGUACAGUGUUGGAUUGAAUCCCAGUCUGUGUGUCGAUACAGUAUUGGAUUAAAUCCCAGCCUGUGUGUGUCUAUACAGUAUUGGAUUGAAUCCCAGGCUGUGUGUGUCUAUACAGUAUUGUAUUGAAUCCCAGGCUGUGUGUGUCUAUACAGUAUUGGACUGAAUCCCAGGCUGUGUGUGUCUAUACAGUAUUGGAUUGAAUCCCAACCUAUGUGUGUCUAUACAGUAUUGGAUUGAAUCCCAGCCUAUGUGUCUGUACAGUAAUGGAUUGAAUCCCAGCCUAUGUGUCUAUGUCUGUACAGUGUUGGAUUGAAUCCCAGUCUGUGUGUCUAUACAGUAUUGGAUUAAAUCCCAGCCUGUGUGUGUCUAUACAGUAUUGGAUUGAAUCCCAGCCUAUGUGUCUGUCUGUACAGUAUUGGAUUGAAUCCCAGCCUAUGUGUCUGUCUGUACAGUAUUGGUUUGAAUCCCAGCCUGUGUGUGUCUAUACAGUAUUGGAUUGAAUCCCAGCCUAUGUGUCUGUCUGUACAGUAUUGGAUUGAAUCCCAGUCUGUGUGUCUGUCUAUACAGUAUUGGAUUGAAUCCCAGCCUGUCUGUCUGUCUAUACAGUAUUGGAUUGUAUCCCAACCUAUGUGUCUAUACAGUAUUGGAUUGAAUCCCAGCCUAUGUGUCUGUACAGUAUUGGAUUGAAUCCCAGCCUAUGUGUCUAUACAGUAUUGGAUUGAAUCCCAACCUAUGUGUGUCUAUACAGUUGACCAUCAUUUCUCAUGUUGAUAGUGGAGUCUCUUCUGGUUCUAAAGUACAGUUGUGUUCUAAUACAGUAUAAUGGAACCCUUCUACUUCACAAUGGGAGUGUAACAAUGGAGCAGAACGUUCUGUUUUCUCUUUUCCAAACUGGUUGAAAGACUAUUUAACCCUGUAACCCAGCAACACGUCUGGCUGAUACUAACUCACAGUCCUGCUGACUUCAGUCUUGAAAGACUAUUUAACCCUGUAACCCAGCAACACGUCUGGCUGAUACUAACUCACAGUCCUGCUGACUUCAGUCUUGAAAGACUAUUUAACCCUGUAACCCAGCAACACGUCUGGCUGAUACUAACUCACAGUCCUGCUGACUUCAGUCUUGAAAGACUAUUUAACCCUGUAACCCAGCAACAAUUUCUCCCAGCA